GCUGAGUGCGGGAUCCGGCGGUCACAGGCAGUCACAGCAGCUCACCUAGGUCGCCUUCCUUUUCUACACGCGUGUGACAGUGAAAACCUAGAUCGCGGGGGCGCCCAAUCCCCGCGUCUCCUCUCUUUCCCCCAAUCCCGUCUCUCCUCUUCCCUCCAAUCUCCGCUUCUCCUCUUCGUGCGUCGCUGUUGUGGAGAACACGAGCAGGUGCUGGAGGACGGCAUCUCAGAGGAGGGUGGCGGCGAGCCGGCGGACCGGCGGGGAUGACCAUGGGGGCGCGGCGCCGGAUGGGGACGGCAGCGGUGGUGGCCUGGAGGAGGAGGGUGGCCUCAACACGGAGAGUGGUGGCGGCGCGGCGCCUCAAGCUCGAGAAGGUCGUCCACUGCCGGCAGGGGUUCGAGAUCUGGCGGAUCGAGCGAUGCACGGACGAAGGCCGCCCGGCCCCAGCAAUGUCCACGACGCGGCCAGCUCCGGCAAGGGCAGGCCGACGUGAGCUUGGGCAGGGGGCUGGCCUGGGUGGGCGCGGCGAGCUCCUGCUCCGGCAAGGGGCAGGCGCGGCGAGGUCUGGCUCCGGCAAGGGGCGGGCGCAGGAGAACUCCACCUCCAACGGGGCGGCCGGAGGAGGCGCUGCAGGAGCGCGCAUGGAGGAGGGAGCGGAUCCAAACCUUCCCCCACCACCACGGCCAUCGCUCCCUCGACAAGAAGCGCCACAUCCCAACAUGUACCGGGUAAAAUCCUAACACUAGCUCAUGUAUUUCUCGAUCUGACAGUGAUGGGCAUGGCCAGGGAUCUGCUUGAAGAAUGGCAAUGACGAGGUGGAACUCCUGCAUCCUCCGACCCUGGAUUUUAUUGCUGGUACUGUGCUGCUAGAUGUGUGAGCUGCUGGUUAGACAUGUUUUUAGUGUCAUUGUGCGUUGCUGGUUUAUUAGUAUUUGUGGCAAGCACGAAUCAACUGAAAUUAUUUUGUUCUGCAGAUCUGUAUAUUUGUGAUUUAUUAGUAUUAGUAUUUAACGAUAAAAGUUUCAAAAGGAUUGAACAACAAUCGAAGUUGUCCUAUGUUUACCGAAGUGGCGAUUAUAUAUAUUUCAAUAGCCUCUUAUGUUCUUUAUUGUUGGAUUUGCUGAUAAACUACCUUUUGUGUUGUUUAUUACUUUGCAGGUUUACUGGUUUUAGUUCAGAUGGAAGAUCUCCAGGAUUAGGAAGGAUUCAGGAUGAUAAUGUUGUAGAUGCGAAUGAUGAGUAUGAGGAGAAAGCGAGAGAUCAUACCUUAAGUGGAAGAAGAACAAGGUGAUCUCUCUGUCACAAGGGGAAUGUUGUGAGAACAAGGACUUACUCGAGCCUUGCAGCGUGAAUGCAGUAGCACGCAGCGCUAGGUCGAGCACACUGGCCUUUACGACAAGAGACCGGUACCAUCAGAUUCGCUUUAGUUCUUGCUUGGUUGCUUACUAGGUUCCUAUAAGAGAAAGGCCAGGUUCACCUUUUUUCCUGCUGCAAAGAUCACCAUCAUACAGGCAUUUGGCCUUUAUUUAUGUGAAUUUCUUUGUAAUUAUUUGAUUUGGUUACAUGCUAAUAAGGCAUACCAUGAUACCAAAACUUACCAGAUGUAAAUCUUGCAACCACCAACUAAUGAUUUUGAGGUUUAACUUUUGCUUCUGUGUUGAGUAUGUUGGUCUAAUGGUGAAGAGCUUCCAGGGCUUGUUGCUUGUCGGUUUGCAAGGCGUUGGUUCUUGAGGCAAGCUUAUUUGGAGCCUCCAGUUUGUCCUGGCAUCAUGAAAAGGAUGCCUGC